UACGGAGGAUCCAAGCGUUAUCCGGAUUUAUUGGGUUUAAAGGGUGCGUAGGCGGCCUAUUAAGUCAGGGGUGAAAGACGGUAGCUCAACUAUCGCAGUGCCCUUGAUACUGAUAGGCUUGAAUUAACUAGAGGUAGGCGGAAUGUGACAAGUAGCGGUGAAAUGUUUAGAUAUGUCACAGAACACCGAUUGCGAAGGCAGCUUACUAUGGUUUUAUUGACGCUGAGGCACGAAAGCGUGGGGAUCAAACAGG
rnacentral:rRNA from 1 species